rnacentral:rRNA from 1 species
UGGGGAAUAUUGGACAAUGGGGGGAACCCUGAUCCAGCCAUGCCGCGUGUGUGAAGAAGGCCUUAUGGUUGUAAAGCACUUUAAGCGAGGAGGAGGGUACUGGUAUUAAUACUACCAGGUACUGGACUUUACUCGCAGAAUAAGCACCGGCUAACUCUGUGCCAGCAGCCGCGGUAAUACAGAGGGUGCGAGCGUUAAUCGGAUUUACUGGGCGUAAAGCGUGCGUAGGCGGCUAAUUGAGUCGGAUGUGAAAUCCCCGAGCUUAACUUGGGAAUUGCAUUCGAUACUGGUUAGCUAGAGUGUGGGAGAGGAUGGUAGAAUUCCAGGUGUAGCGGUGAAAUGCGUAGAGAUCUGGAGGAAUACCGAUGGCGAAGGCAGCCAUCUGGCCUAACACUGACGCUGAGGUACGAAAGCAUGGGGAGCAAACAGG